CUCCAAUCAAUGAAAUUGAUCUUCUCGUGAAGAAGCGAGAAUAUUACUAUUAGACGAGAAGACCCCAUGGAGCUUUAAACUUAUUACCAGUUACUUAACCGCUAAACCAUAAUAUAUAGUAAAAAUGUUCUUAAUAGUUUUCGGCUGGGGUGGCCCUGGAGUAAAACAAACCCUCCAGAAUGAACGGAAUAAAACCCUAAUCUAAGAAUUACAACUCAAAGAAUCAAAAAACUGACAUUACUGAUCCAAUUAAUUGAUUAACGAAACAAGUUACCCUGGGGAUAACAGCGCAAUCCAUUUUGAGAGCCCCUAUCAACAAAUGGGUUUACGACCUCGAUGUUGGAUCGGGGUAUCCCGGUGGCGCAGCCGCUACUAAUGGUUCGUUUGUUCAACGAUUAAUAACCCCACGUGAUCUGAGUUCAAACMRGANC
rnacentral:rRNA from 1 species